CUUGCUCCGGAUGUUAGCGGCGGACGGGUGAGUAACACGUGGGUAACCUGCCUGUAAGACUGGGAUAACUCCGGGAAACCGGAGCUAAUACCGGAUAGUUCCUUGAACCGCAUGGUUCAAGGAUGAAAGACGGUUUCGGCUGUCACUUACAGAUGGACCCGCGGCGCAUUAGCUAGUUGGUGGGGUAAUGGCUCACCAAGGCGACGAUGCGUAGCCGACCUGAGAGGGUGAUCGGCCACACUGGGACUGAGACACGGCCCAGACUCCUACGGGAGGCAGCAGUAGGGAAUCUUCCGCAAUGGACGAAAGUCUGACGGAGCAACGCCGCGUGAGUGAUGAAGGUUUUCGGAUCGUAAAGCUCUGUUGUUAGGGAAGAACAAGUGCGAGAGUAACUGCUCGCACCUUGACGGUACCUAACCAGAAAGCCACGGCUAACUACGUGCCAGCAGCCGCGGUAAUACGUAGGUGGCAAGCGUUGUCCGGAAUUAUUGGGCGUAAAGGGCUCGCAGGCGGUUUCUUAAGUCUGAUGUGAAAGCCCCCGGCUCAACCGGGGAGGGUCAUUGGAAACUGGGAAACUUGAGUGCAGAAGAGGAGAGUGGAAUUCCACGUGUAGCGGUGAAAUGCGUAGAGAUGUGGAGGAACACCAGUGGCGAAGGCGACUCUCUGGUCUGUAACUGACGCUGAGGAGCGAAAGCGUGGGGAGCGAACAGGAUUAGAUACCCUGGUAGUCCACGCCGUAAACGAUGAGUGCUAAGUGUUAGGGGGUUUCCGCCCCUUAGUGCUGCAGCUAACGCAUUAAGCACUCCGCCUGGGGAGUACGGUCGCAAGACUGAAACUCAAAGGAAUUGACGGGGGCCCGCACAAGCGGUGGAGCAUGUGGUUUAAUUCGAAGCAACGCGAAGAACCUUACCAGGUCUUGACAUCCUCUGACAACCCUAGAGAUAGGGCUUUCCCUUCGGGGACAGAGUGACAGGUGGUGCAUGGUUGUCGUCAGCUCGUGUCGUGAGAUGUUGGGUUAAGUCCCGCAACGAGCGCAACCCUUGAUCUUAGUUGCCAGCAUUCAGUUGGGCACUCUAAGGUGACUGCCGGUGACAAACCGGAGGAAGGUGGGGAUGACGUCAAAUCAUCAUGCCCCUUAUGACCUGGGCUACACACGUGCUACAAUGGACAGAACAAAGGGCUGCAAGACCGCAAGGUUUAGCCAAUCCCAUAAAUCUGUUCUCAGUUCGGAUCGCAGUCUGCAACUCGACUGCGUGAAGCUGGAAUCGCUAGUAAUCGCGGAUCAGCAUGCCG
rnacentral:rRNA from 1 species